rnacentral:rRNA from 1 species
UACGUAGGGUCCGAGCGUUGUCCGGAAUUACUGGGCGUAAAGAGCUCGUAGGUGGUUUGUCGCGUUGUUCGUGAAAACUCACAGCUUAACUGGGGGCGUGCGGGCGAUACGGGCAGACUGGAGUACUGCAGGGGAGACUGGAAUUCCUGGUGUAGCGGUGGAAUGCGCAGAUAUCAGGAGGAACACCGGUGGCGAAGGCGGGUCUCUGGGCAGUAACUGACGCUGGAGGAGCGAAAGCCGUGGGGAGCGAACAGG